GAGUGGACAGGGACUUUAACUGGGAUAAAAAUAAAGCCGUGUCUCCUGCCAGGGGAGCCUUUCUCCUUGAGGGGCUACUUCAGCUAGUUGAUGGAGCCGCAGGACCCGCGCUUGGGACCCUGCACGGGAGAGGACAGCAGAUUGCUACCAAUGAGAAUCGUUAAAUCAAGGUGGAAACAGGGCCUUGGGGGCAAGUUAAGGUGUUUGAUCCAAGCCUCUUCCUGCAGAUCACAGAUGGCUUGAUUAACACCCAGCGCAGCGUUCGUUCGGAGCAGCUGUUCUCCGUGGUCAAGUUUCUAUGCCCUCCCUCUCCAGUGGGAAGAACGGCCGAGAUUCAUUUCUCGGCUACUCCCUGCUGUCAGAACUGCCUCUGCCUUUGCCUCUUCCUUGUCCCAUUAGAAGAUUCCAUCUGUUUGGUGACCUGUCAAUCUACUGUGAGGAGAUUGCUAUGGUUCUUCAGCUUCACAUUUUGGUUCCUCUCAGCAAGUGCCAUUUUCUGCCAUUCUUUCUGGAAGCCAAUCCAGAAUAGACAAAUGCUGGGAUCAUGACUUCUGGCACUGACUGUCUUUGGGGAGAUUUCUUCUGCUCCCUGGAGCCACCACAAGCAAGACGGAGUCUGCGGCUGAAGGUAUUUGCUAAGUCACUCUUUACAGAAGUCAGCGCUAAUCUCCUGGGCUGAAGGUAUGAGGUUGAGUGGCAUGUUCAGUGGUUCUGAGAGUCCACUGUGACUCCGCUCUGUCCGGACCAGCCUCAACAAGAACAACUGAGAAAGCCUGACUCAGCAAUCAACGCCUGGUUUGCUAUUUGGUUUAUUCCUUCAUAUAAUAUAAUCCAAACGAAGUUAGCUGCUUCUCAGAGUGGGAUGAUGGAUGGAAUUUAUGGCCUGGAGUCACCCACUGCUUCAUCACUCUGGACUCGAAUGGAGAGUGAAACUGGAAAGCCACUGCUGGAGGGGAGCUGUUCGAUUUAAAGUGUUUGCCAGAGCACAACUGGCUAUCAAGGAGCAACGGAAAGGAGGAGGGGGCAAACUUCCGGUUAGCUGCUUCAUCACUUUGAGCCUCUGAAGGAAGGAUUCUUAAAUUGCCUUUAUCUACCAGCACCAUGCAGCUGGGACUCAAACUGUCAUUUGCUAAGAGAGAUUCCCAUGGACCCAAUGCUGAAUACGAGAGCCUGGGCGGCAGUGCAAUGCUCACUCGCAAUCCUGAAAAAGCUUAUUUUUCUGUCCUUUCUCCAAUCCACCUAGAAGAACAUUGGCUAGUGUCGGCCUCAGUGAUUCUGCCCUGUGGAUAGCUUCUGAGACCAAUCACUUGCCUUUGCACAGUCAACUAAAAUCUAACUCAAUACUUAGCUUUGAAAAAAGAUGCUGCUUGACUGGAGACAGCUUUGUGAUUUCUGGCAACUUAUUCCCUUUCAAUCAGAUGAAUUAGCAGGCCAGUUGUGAGAACCUCAACAGAUGCUGGUGAGCACAGGAACAAAAAUGGCUCUGGACAAUGCCUUCCCUUGUUUCUGAGACCAGGACUCGAGGUCUCAGAAACUUUAGAGGACCUGUGGUCUUCAUUUUGCAAGGCAUUGAUCUGAACAACUUGAUUUUCUUAGCCAUAACUUCACAUGGACUGUUCUUGACACUGUGGAAAUAAUCCAAGGCUGAUCCUGCAAACUGAGUCCGGCCUGGGUUCUAUUGAGCAGUUAAAAAAGGUUUCUCUUGAGUCCUGGCAGAGAAUUUUUUUUUUAUAUAUAAAUGAAACAAUUUGGAACUUUUUUUUUUUUUUUUUUUUUGAGGAGGCAGGGGCGGGGAGUGGUAUGUUCUGGUGGAAUCUGAGGGAUCUGGGACUGAGGAAAAACAGAACAUAGGAGAGAGACCUAUCUGUGUGAGGGGGUCUCAUGUAGGGAGAAAAGCAAUCUGUGGGGUCUCUGUGGAUCAGAACUAUAGGCUAGUUAAAAGGUGAGCCUUAUAAGUAGGUGAGAAACCAUUUUCAUACCACACUUCCCUGCGGCCUAUGCUGUUGUAUAAUCCUCCUAUACGUACUGGCAAUGGACUAAUCCCAUCUCUUUUUACUUUUCCUAAGUAGUGUCUAACUGUGGGCACCAAAGGCUUUUUAGAGCAAGUGCCACCAAUCAGCAGACUAAAGGGACAGUGCUGUCAUUUUUGGAUACCCUGGAAGAUUGGUUCUAAGACUAGGUACAACAAUGUGUAAACGCUUCCUUUUUGUGUAUACAAUGGCAUAGUUACAUAGAUCCUACACAGACCCUCCUGUCUAUUUUGCAUCAUUUCUGCUUCACUUUUACUACUGAGUACAAGUAACUAUUAUACUAUAUUGUUUACAUAAUAAUGACAAAGUCUGUGAUGUUUAAUAAUGAGACCGUUUUCAUCAAUGGCGGUUUGAAUCCAUGCAUGAAGAAUCUGUGAACUUGGAGGACCAACUUAAUCAUUAAACAUCAUUAUUAUUAUUAUUAUUAUUAUUAUUAUGCCUUCAACCCACCAGGAAGAACCUAAUAUCUCUAUUAGAAGAUUUAAGUCAACCUUUCUUAAAAAUACCGAUUUAAGAAUUUCCAAAUUUCCAACUGCUACUUAAGACUUCCACCAUUCUAAUCACUCAUUCCAGUAUGGCAAAUACAUCACAAUAACCUCGAUGCUUCUUGUAACCGCAUGUAGCAACGAUUAUACACCAGCCAAUGAUUUUAGAGCUUGCAUAGAGUACUUUAUUUAGUCUUUAAGCAAUCAGAUGCACAACACACUUUUCCUUAUGUAGAUGAAUUUGAAGGCAAGCCUCACUCAGGCAGGAGAGAUGAGACUCAAACCCACCCAUUUAGUUCCAAAAAUUUUCUUCGUAUAUAUGUCUAGGUCCAGUUUAUGACUGCCUUCUUAGACAUAACAUUGCUUCCUACUGAUGUAAUGGUUCUUCUCUUAGAAUUCAGAAGUUUUUCCAUGAAUGAGCUGGACAUUGUCAAUCCCUUAGAAUCUGCUUGGAACCAGAAACCUGUCUACAGCUCAUUUUUGUAGUUACCUGCCGUAGAUAGUAUAAUUCCAGCACAAGGUGGCAGUUCAAUGAACAAUUUAUCUGACAACUGACAACAUUGUACUUGAUAGUGAAUUUUACUCAGGAUUUUUUUUUUUGCCAAAAAUUUUAUUAUCCCUUUAUUCACCAUGACACUAACAUACAUACAUUGAACCUUCUUCACAAAGUGAAUGAGGAGUAAUACAUUGUACAUUCGGGAUGAAUUGCAAAACAUAUUUUCUAUCAUGCACAUUUAUAUAUCACACUCAUGUAAGAUUUAUAGACGAAUAAGGAGAUGUCUACCAAAAACCCCUAUAGAAGAAUGAAGUGGGCUGAAUGUGGCAGUGCACACCUGUAAUCCCAAUGCUCCGGAGAUAGAGGCAGGGGGAUUACAACUUGAGGGCCAGCCUGUGCCAUGUAGGAAAACCCUGUGCCAUGUAGUAAACCUUGUUACUUUCCAAGUGAGAAAGUAAAUAAAAAUUAUGGUGAUUUCCACAAAGGAAAAAAAAGUUCUGAAGUGGCAAUAGUGAACCUGAUGUGUGCUUGGGGAAGCAAGGAGGCUUCUGGGAGGGAGCAAUGUUGAGUUAUAGUUCAAGGUUAAGCAGGAGUUACCAUGGCCCUGAGAGUUCUGCAGGGGCCCAAGGAUCUUGUAUGUUUGCCUCCCCACAGUUUAGCUUCCUCUCCCCUGUUCUCUUCAUUCCUGGCCCACUAGCCUUGUCUCAGGUCAUCAAACACGCAAGAUUCCUACUCUUAGAUUCAUUGCCGUCUCUCUGCCUGCAGCUGCUUUUCCCAGUCUUUCAUUCCUUCAUUCUCUCACUUCAAGGCACGCACGCUCAAUGUAUCAGAGUUCUGCAGAGAAACAGACUCAAUGGGAUAGGCUCUCCCCACCCCCCGAUUUAUUUGCAGGAAUUGGCUCAAGUGAUGUGGAGGCUGGCAAGUCUGAGAUCUGGAGGGCAGACUGGCAGGCUGGAAGCUUAGUGGGCAUGGAGCCUGCAGUAUUGGAUGAAACUUCCUUAAGAAAUUUCAGAUUUUGCGGAGGAGGCUGAUUGGACAAGCCUGUGCACACCACCGGGGCGACCUCCUUUCCUACAAGUCAGGUGACCGACACUGUUUUAACUACAAAAUACCUUCACAACACCGCUGAGAUUUGUGUUUGAUGAAGUAACUGGGUUACUUUAUUGCCUGGUGUAAAAAAGUAACCACUGUAGGCAUUAAUGUCUAUGUACAAACAGUUUAUAGUAGCAAUAAUUUUCAGCUGUCAGCAAUACUUCUGCCCUACCUUAGUCUUUACAGCUGGGAUCGUUCCACUCCCUCCCCUCUUGGAGGCCUUCUUCACAUACUUUACAUAUGUUCAUUCAAUGAUAUUUUCUAUCUUUGCAUUUUGAAGCACUUCUUGGUAUAGGGAUAUAGUCUAAAAUUCUCCACUCUUGGGUCUGGUUCUUCAGUCCAUACCUGCCAUAACUCUUAGGCUGACAUUUCCCCGUAUCUAAAUGGAUAACUUCGUUUGGGCUCAUUAUUAGUUCAUUGAUUUAAUCCCCAGUUCAUCAACAAUGAUUUUCAGUAGUAAAGAUGUAUAAAUGCACUGCCCUGUUUGUCUUGACACACAUAUAAGGUUGGUUGAAGACAUCUUUAUAUUCUUUUUAUUCCCUACAUUACUAUUUAGCUGACCACAGAGAAACACAUUUACUAGUCUUCUGCUCACUUUCAAAGCCUUUUAAAUUAUCCUGCACUUUGUUCCCAGUGACUAUUUUUUUUAACAACCAGCAAGAUGACAGUAUUGUCUUCAGCCCUGCAGUUUUCGUCAGCCUUCUCACCUUAGGGUCCAUCCUUGGGAAUUUCGUGCUGAAACUUGUCCAUCUAGCAAAGACUGGUCACUCCCCUUCUAAUUUGUGGGUUUUACACGAUAAGUAACUGUUCACUUCAAUCUGUUGUGACUUCUAAAAUAAACUCUUUAUCAAACAUAACAUAUGUGCAGAAACAUUGUUUUCUGUUACCCUUUUUAAAAAUUGUUUGCAAAAUUCAUAUAAUGUAUCUUUAAAAUCGAACGCGCCAUCCCUUUCCUCCUCCUUCCUCUCCAACUCGAUCUUUUCUCCUCUUCUUCCCCUCCACCUAGUUUCAUUUUCCUUCUUUGAUUUUUAAAGACCAUUGCAAGUCCUAGUGCAUGGGUGUUGGGCCAUGGAUCAUGAGUAGCCUCUCAGGGCCUGCAUCCCUGAAGGAACUUUUACAUUUCUUAGGCUUUGGUCGUUGUUGCUGCUGCCGCCUCAACUUUUAGCUUUUGGUUUAAUUUACUGUUGUUUCAAAGAGUUAUAUUUAUUCUAUUUAUUUAAUUUGCUCUUUUUUAAGAAUAUGAGACAUUUUCUUUGGACAGGGUCUUUCUAUUAUUCCAGACUGACUUUGAACAUCUAAUCUUGUGGCCUCAGCCUCUCAAGGGCUAGGAUUCUAGGAUUUUAGGCAUGCAUCAUGAAAACGAGCAAAAAGGAGAGAGAGACCACACACACAGAGACAGAGAGAGACACACACACAGACCCACAUGCAUAUAUAUACACACACACACACAGAGAAAGAGAGAGAGAGAGAUAGAAAGAGACACACACCACACAGACAGACAGACAAACACACACAUAGACACACACACACACACACACACACACAGAGAGAGAGAGAGAGAGAGAGAGAGAGAGAGAGAGAGAGAGAGAGAGAGAGAGAGAGUUAUUUGGGGACUUGGGGAUUGAACCCAGGGCCUCAGUGCUCUACCACAGACCUGCAUAACCUCCCUGAAAACACAUAGUUCCAGGCUAUGUGUUUCCCUCUCAUUCUAACGUCACCCCCAUUCCAAAUUUUUGAUUUGAUUUAGUUCAGAAAAAAAUUCUAAUUUUAUUGUGGUUUCCUUGACUAUGAACAUAGAAGCACAUUGUCUAACUUUAUAAUGUUUGAGGCAUUUUUUGUUUAUUUAUUUAUGGCUGUUGAAUUUCUUCUGUUCUUUCUUCUGAAGUUACAGUUACAUGCUUGGUAGCUCUCCCUCCACCCCACCAUGCCCAGAAUUCAUUAGGUCUAUGUCUCUGUUCAUGAUUCCUGUAUGUUCCAUGUGUUUCCUUCUCUAUGUCACUGACAUAUGUUCUAAUUCAGCAAUAUUCUAAUGAGAGUAUUGCUGAGAUCAACAAGGCUUUUAAUCUGCCUAUUAGCUAUUUUAAAUUACUUUACUUUUCAGUUAUAAUAAAUUAUUUUUAAAAUUUUAGUUUAACUCUAUUUGGUUAUUUAUAUUCCUGACUAAACCAUGCAAUUAUUUAAGAAUCUCUGUGUUAUCCAUUGGCACAGGAGACCACUUCCUAAAUAUAACCCCAGCAGCAAAGAUACUGAGAGAAUAAUUAAUAAAUGGGACUUCCUGAAACUGAAAAGUUUCUAUAAAGCAAAGGAUAUGGUCAACAAGACAAAAUGGCAGCCUACAAAAUGGAAAAAGAUCUUAACCAACCCCACAUCAGACAGAGGACUGAUUUCCAAAAUUUACAAAGAACUCAACAAAUUGGUCAUUCAAAGAACAAAUAACCCAAUAAAAUAAAAUAGAGUACAGACCUAAACAGAGAACUCGCAACAGAGGAAUCUAAAAUGGAUGAAAGACACUUAAGGAAAUGCUCAACACUUUUAGUCAUCAGAGAAAUGCUAAUCAAAACAACUCUGAGAUUCUAUCUUAAACUUGUAAAAAUGGCCAAGAUCAAAAACACUGUUGUUGACAGCUUAUGCUGGAGAGGAUGUGGGGUAAAAGAAACACUUCUGCAUUGCAGAUGGGAGUGCAAGCUGGUACAACCCCUUUGGAUAUCAGGAUGACAAUUUCUCAGAAAAUUAGGAAACACCCCUACUCAAAAUCCAUCAGUAUCACUUUUGAGUAUAUAUCCAAGGGAUGCUCAGUUGUGCCACAAUGUGGUACAACAUCUGCUCAGCUUGUUCAUAGCAGCUUUGUGUGUCAUAGCCCGAACCUGGAAACAACCCUAAAAGCCCCUUGACUGAAGAAUGGAUAAGGAAAAUGUGGUACAUUUACACAAAUGGAGUACUACAUAGCAGAAAAAAAAAUAAUGACAUCUUAAAAUUUGCAGGCAAAUGGGUGGAUCUAGAAAACAUCAUAUUGAGUGAGGUAACCCAGAUCCAGAAAAACAUAUAUCAUAAUACUCAUAAGUGGCUUUUAGACAUAAAGCAAGGAAAAUUAGACUACGAUUCACAAUCCUAGAGAACCUAGACAACAAUGAGGACCCUAAGAGAGACAUACAUGGAUCUAAUGUACAUGGGAAG